CAAGCAAACCCAUUCACCUGCCCAUGUCUCAAUUCCAGGCACUAUCAACUGCGUCUGUGUAAAUGGCUAAAGUACAAACAGUGGGUGAGCACCAUCUAUUCCAGGCAUUUCAUAGAGGAGAAACAGAGGAUAGGUUAUGUCAGGUACAACUACUCUUUUAAUGUCCAACUUAAUGAACGUUUACAAAGGGCUCUGGGCACCAGGGUUUGUAAAGGUACAAAUAUAGCAAUAAAGGCAGAAAAUACUGUCUUGUCACAAUGAUUCCUAGCUGUUUCUUCUCUCUUCAACACUGAAUGAGCUGGGAAUGUCUUAUUUUUUUCUUUCCCCAAUGCUUACAAUGUUUUGUUCCCUUUUUUGUAUUUUUCAAAGGUAUGUUGCCAGUGGGAAGAGUGGCUGAUAUGAAGGAGAAUGUUUCUAGGAGUCUCUUUUCCCUAGGUUUGACAUCCAGAUCCUGCUGGUUCACAAACAGGCCACAGAGAGCUCUUGACGGACCAGCAGGAUUUCCAGGGAUGGUCAGUAUUGAUAAAAGCCAGAGAGAGGCCCCAGAGCUGUGUGCAGGGUCCAGUGGAGCACGAUGGUUGGACUUCAGAAUGGAUGAAAGCACCUUGUCUGUGUCACACCCUGGGAUGAACUGCACUUGUCAGUGGAAGAUACAGCAGGAAGAAAACUCCAGAGAAAUUGCAAGAUCCAUUUGCAACAAGCAUAAUAAAUAUCAAUAAAUUGAAUGGUCAGGAAUAGCACCUACAUAAACAGGAUGUGGCAACUGGAGUGAGCAUAUUAAACUAUACUCAUCAAAUGAUCAGAUUUGCAGUGGGACAAGAGUAUUUAUAUUUUUAAAAAUGAUUUAUGGCUGUCAGAACCCUGGGAAAAGGUUAUGGUUCAUGAAGGAGUUGGACAGGUAGAAAUGUGACCGUUCUCAUAGUUGGAAAUCUAGAAAUGCGUGGAUCCUUUGGAAGGCUCUGGAUGCUGCAAAACAGGUCCUAUAUUGGCAUAGUAAUGCAACACUUGCAACAUCUACAUGCCUUUUGUUAAGGAGGACAAUGGAAAUGUGAGGAGUUUGGGUACUUGAGUCCAUGCAUCUUGGGAAUGUUUAUAAAAGCAUUAAUAAAUUAAUUAAUUAAUUAAGAAUGGCUGUACUU
rnacentral:lncRNA from 1 species